AUUCUGCCAUUUACAGUGUGUCCUGAAGUUAUGACCACGAUUGAGGCCCAAAUUUCUGUUGCUAAGUGAGAAAUUUGUUAAGUGAGUUUUGCCUCAUUUUACAACUUUUCUUAUCACAUUUGUUGAGCGAAUCACUGCAGCUGUUUAAUUAGGAAUACGGUUGUUAAGUGAAUCUGGUUUCCCCACUGAGACUUUACUUGUCAGAAAGUCACAAUAGGGGAAUCACAUAACCCAAG